rnacentral:rRNA from 1 species
CGUGGCGGCAUGCCUUACACAUGCGAAAGUCGAACGGCAGCACGGGAGCAAUCCUGGUGGCGAGUGGCGAACGGGUGAGUAAUAUAUCGGAACGUGCCCAGUCGUGGGGGAUAACGUAGCGAAAGCUACGCUAAUACCGCAUACGAUCUACGGAUGAAAGCGGGGGAUCGCAAGACCUCGCGCGAUUGGAGCGGCCGAUAUCAGAUUAGGUAGUUGGUGAGGUAAAGGCUCACCAAGCCGACGAUCUGUAGCUGGUCUGAGAGGACGACCAGCCACACUGGGACUGAGACACGGCCCAGACUCCUACGGGAGGCAGCAGUGGGAAUUUUGGACAAUGGGCGCAAGCCUGAUCCAGCAAUGCCGCGUGCAGGAUGAAGGCCUUCGGGUUGUAAACUGCUUUGUACGGAACGAAACGGUGAGCUCUAAUACAGUUUGCUAAUGACGGUACCGUAAGAAUAAGCACCGGCUAACUACGUG